rfam:TPA: Bos taurus chromosome 6, whole genome shotgun sequence.
UCCCUGGUGGCUCAGACGGUAAAGCGUCUGCCAGCAAUGCGGGAGACCCAGGUUCAAUCCCUGGGUCGGGAA